GACGAACGCUGGCGGCGUGCUUAACACAUGCAAGUCGAACGGAAAGACCAUGCUUUUGUGGGGUGCUCGAGUGGCGAACGGGUGAGUAAAACGUGAGUAACAUGCCCUUAAAUGUGGGAUAAAUUCAGGGAAAUGGGGCUAAUACAGGAUAGGAGCUCCUGCUGCGUGGGGGGGGUUGGAAAGAGUCGGCGGUUGGGGAUGGACUCGCGGCUUAUGAGCUUGUUAGUGAGGUAGUGAAGUACAAGGGCUUUGAAGGGUAGCCGGCCUGAGAGGGUGACCGGCCACAUUGGGCCUGAGAGACGGCGCAGACUCCUACGGGAGGCAGCAGUGGGGAAUAUUGCACAAUGGGCGGAAGCCUGAUGCAGCAACGCCGCGUGCGGGAUGACGGCCUUCGGGUUGUAAACCGCUUUCGCCUGUGACGAAGAGUGAGUGACGGUAAUGGGUAAAGAAGCACCGGCUAACUACGUG
rnacentral:rRNA from 1 species